UUGUAUACUUGGUGCAUUUACACUGCCAAUAGUAGCUGACAUAACAGGGCUUGAGGUCCGAGCAAGAGUGGACCCAAGGUUAAGAGUUCGGGCUGAGCUAUCAACAACAUUGUUCACAGGCAUUGUUGAAACAGAGGAGUCUGUUAAAUCUAGCCGAGAGAACACAAUUGACUGCCCACCAGUUAAUGGGGUCUGUCCUCCAACCAUAUCGGCCUUCCUCUCUCCUUCCAUAUUUGAAGUGUCAUUUCCUCCAUUUUCCCCUUCUUCAGGCACACGGUAAUUCAUCUGCUGUGUUGCUUGGGCCGCAGUGAUGAAGUGAUAGCCAUGACUUGCUGUCUCUGGAGGGCUUUGGAGAAGAGCAUGAUUCUGUACCAUCAAUGAAACAUCAAGACCUGGGGAAGUUGUGGUUCCGUUGAUGGAGCAAAUGACAUUGCAAAAGGAGGAGGUGUUCGUGAGUAACAUUCUGAUUUUGCAUCAGCUGCCGCUGCUAGUUCGGCAGGGAAUGAUUCUGCUGAUGAUUCUGUAAUUGGUUGGAUCUUGAUGACCACUGCUGAUUCCACCUAAUUCUGCAAAUGCUUCUGGGAUGACGAGGAGCCACUAGAAAUACGUGGAUUUUGAUGACCCUGUUGGCUUUGCUGUGUCUGUAUGAAUGGUUGCUGUCGCUGAAGCUGUGAAGGAUGAAGCAUUCAAGAAGAAUAAAAUUGAUCCAUUGAAGAAAGGCAUAGCCUAAGGAUGGGUUCCUCUGUAGGCUAUUGUGGCCCCCAACAUGUUCAGGGAUUGGAAUCUCGUACGCACCAUUCUACAAUUUUGCCAGGGAAGUUAGGGUAGA
rnacentral:lncRNA from 1 species